CCUACGGGAGGCAGCAGUGGGGAAUAUUGGACAAUGGGCGAAAGCCUGAUCCAGCAAUGCCGCGUGAGUGAUGAAGGCCUUAGGGUUGUAAAGCUCUUUUACCAGGGAUGAUAAUGACAGUACCUGGAGAAUAAGCUCCGGCUAACUCCGUGCCAGCAGCCGCGGUAAUACGGAGGGAGCUAGCGUUGUUCGGAAUUACUGGGCGUAAAGCGUACGUAGGCGGUUAUUCAAGUCAGAGGUGAAAGCCUGGAGCUCAACUCCAGAACUGCCUUUGAAACUAGAUAGCUAGAAUCUUGGAGAGGUGAGUGGAAUUCCGAGUGUAGAGGUGAAAUUCGUAGAUAUUCGGAAGAACACCAGUGGCGAAGGCGACUCACUGGACAAGUAUUGACGCUGAGGUACGAAAGCGUGGGGAGCAAACAGGAUUAGAUACCCUGGUAGUCCACGCCGUAAACGAUGAUAACUAGCUGUUCGGGCUCUACGAGCUUAGAGUGGCGCAGCUAACGCAUUAAGUUAUCCGCCUGGGGAGUACGGUGCAAGAUUAAAACUCAAAAGAGUAGUAGACCGAGAGAGAGACGACGACGACGACGAGGAGGAGGAGG
rnacentral:rRNA from 1 species